rnacentral:rRNA from 2 species
UACGUAGGGGGCAAGCGUUGUCCGGAAUUACUGGGCGUAAAGGGCGAGUAGGCGGUUUUUUAAGUCAGAUGUGAAAGUUCGGGGCUCAACCUCGGAAUUGCAUUUGAAACUGGAGAACUAGAGUACUGGAGAGGUAAGUGGAAUUCCUAGUGUAGCUGUGAAAUGCGUAGAUAUUAGGAGGAACACCAGUGGCGAAGGCGACUUACUGGACAGAUACUGACGCUGAGGCGCGAAGGUGUGGGUAUCAAAC